UAUGAGUCUAUCCUUGCCAUGGCUGGCUGGUUCCCACUGCAAGUGAUGGCUCAACAUACCCCAUACUGGUGAUGCUUCAGUGGGCUCAGUGGUGGCUGUAACAUGAGACAAGCUGUAGGGGGGUCAGGAACUUCUAUUACAUCACAAUGUUGAGGGAUCCGGUGUCACGGUACUUGAGUGAAUGGAAGCAUGUCCAGAGAGGUGCAACAUGGAAAACUUCCCUUCAUAUGUGUGAUGGAAGAAGUCCAACACCAGACGAGCUGCCUACCUGUUAUGAAGGAGAUGACUGGUCUGGAGUCAGUUUACAGGAAUUUAUGGACUGUAGUUAUAAUUUAGCCAACAACCGCCAGGUGCGUAUGCUGGCAGAUCUCAGCCUAGUUGGAUGUUACAAUUUGACUUUUAUGAAUGAAAGUGAAAGGAAUAUGAUCCUAUUACAAAGCGCCAAGAACAACCUGAAAAACAUGGCCUUCUUUGGACUCACAGAGUUUCAGAGGAAAACUCAGUAUCUCUUUGAGAGGACAUUCAACCUGCAGUUCAUUUCCCCAUUCACCCAGUUCAAUGUUACACGAGCCUCGAAUGUAGAUAUCGAUGAGGGGGUACGGAAACGCAUAGAGGAUCUGAAUUUUUUGGAUAUGCAGCUUUAUGAAUAUGCUAAGGACCUAUUUCUUCAACGUUUUCAGUACUCUAAGCAAGAGGAGCACCAGAAGAACCGGCAAAAAAGGCGAGAGGAGCGGAGGCUGCUGCGGGAGCAAAGGGCUCACCAGUGGUCAAAGGAAGAAACUGCGGAAGAAAUCACUGUUACAGAAGAUUACAAUAGUCAGGUGGCAAGAUGGUGAAACUCUUCAGUCUCAGCCAAAAGAAACACAGAUUGGAAAGGUUGUGUACAACUUUGGUAACUCACAGAUUAGACAAGAAAUGACUAUUGUUUGGUAAAUAAGACAAAGUCUAACCAUAGGCCUUCUUUGUCUUAGUAGUUCUUAUUUUCUGUCAGCUAGAAGAAUAUUAUUCUUCCUCAAUGCACAUUAAUUAAUGUUACUAAAUGGCGAUAGCAUAGAUUCCUAUUCAAAAUAAACUUCCUACAAGACCAUAAGCUCUGAGAAUAGCUUGACCAGGUAGCUCUUUCCUUUGCUUUAACAGAUGUACUCUUCAUAAUUUGAGCUACUGAAAUUUGUGAAAAUGUGAAUAAAAAAUUGAAGAAAAAAUUUGAGUCUUACUACACUGUUGAAGAUGGUCUAUGUCAUACUAUCCAUUGUAACUGUAUUAUGUAGCUUUGCACUAAGUGAAACAGAGAAAACCAUGUUGCUCUUGAAACACUUACAAGCUGUGUUUUCAAUAAGAAAAAAAAGUAAUUCAUCCAAGUGAUUUAAUUACAUCAAGCACUAAGUGGCACACAGGCUUAACAUGCUGAUUUUUCUCAUGUGAAAGGCUAUAAUCACUCGUGUUUUAGAAGAGAAAUGAGUUAGCUAGUUUCUACCUAAUUCUAGCAGAUGUUGGUGCAUAUUACCAAAUCUGCUAGUAGGCAACCUUCGUUCUGAAAGCUUGGCAGAGGAAUGGGACAGUUGCUGUAACUGAGAAUUUCUGCAGACCAGGCUUUGCUUAGAUUACUUGACUGAAGGUUAUGAUAUCUGCUUUGACUUUCACAAAAGGUGAAAUCUAUGAACAGGAUAAAGGGAAAGAUUAAAAAAAGGGAAAGAGAAGAGGAGAAAAAGUUUCAGUAUGAAUCUGACAUUUUCCAAAUCUGCUCUAGAAGCAUUGUCUAUAAAAAGGUUCUUUUAUAUUGAGUGACAAGAACUAAUAUGGUUUUCUUUCUAGAGACUGCAUUGGUAAUGAUCUAUCAAAUUUAGAUUUUUUUUAAAGGAUACAAAAGGUGUGUGAACAAAUCUUGCAAUUUGUUACUAAUAUUAAUGUGCUAUCUUCUCCUGUGCACGGUUUUACAAAUGUAUAUAUCCCAAUGCUUGAGUUGAAAAUAUUCUAAAAGUCUAUAGCUUUCCUGUGCAACAGAUCUUUAUCUGGGUUUUUUUAAAUGUUGACUAGCAAAAGAUUUAUAAUAAUUGAUUCUUUCUUCAUAUUUUAGGUUCUUGGGACUAAAAUAGUAUGUCUAGUUCAGAGUUUUCUGCUGUUUGUAAUGGUGUAUAUGCAAAAAUAAUUUUUGAGAUACAUUUUUCCCUUGUUGCAUAAAUCUAGCAUUAUGUGGGCCAUUUUUCAAAGUGGUUUCACCAUCUGUACACCUCCAAAUUUAGUUUUGCAUUCAUGAAUGGUUUUUUGCUUAUCCCCCCAGUUACUAAAAUCAAACUACUCAAUCUAGGUUCACAGAUGUGAGGUUUAGGGGACAGUAAAGAAAAGUUAUUCCAAAAUUAUUUUGCACAGAGAGAGACUGCUUUUGAAAACUUGUCACUACAUUUCCAAAUGUUGUCUUGUUUUCAGGGUACACUGAUAUUUUAGACUAACAAAACACUUGUCAAAACAUCAGUGGCAGUUAGUGCAUACAAAAAUGUAUUGAAAACAGGAAUUCCUACAAAGUGAGUAUAACUAAUACUAAAGGGGAAAAAAGACUACCAACUUGCCUUGUUAGCUGUAGAGUGCAAGAUUUUGUUUGGUAAGACAGCAGCAUUUCAGUCCAUGUUACUUCAUCUCCCUACAUCUCCACCUGGGCAGCUGGUCAUGAGAAGCUAGGCCACAUCCACAAUAUCACAACCCUGUAGAGUGGCUGAUGCUUUGCAGGCAAUAUUUUGCUACUAGGCUCCAGACAGAGCUGGUGCUUUUCUUUCAGAGGUAAGAGUCUGACUUUUCAGUGUAUAGUGCUAGAGCACAGGGAGAAGAAGGACCAAGGGAACAUGAGUUUGUGUUGUACUUCCCUGCUUCUUCAGACCCAACAGCAACUAAGUAAGGAUAAGGAAGAGUGGAUCCCUCUGACACUGUGGUGGGUACUAGGUAGGAAGGAGAAAUGAUUCUGAAUCUGAAGAUGUGUUUUCUGCUUUGCAAAGAUGGGGGAGGCUGUGUUUAUAAGACCUGGAGGAGUAGGAAGGAAGACGAGGAUGGAGCCAAACUGGUGCCAUUAAGAGAGGUGGUCUGAGUUUGAAGAUGCCAGGGGGAGGGGUAGGAGAUGGAGCAGAUGAUGGUGUUGGGAGGAAAGGAGCUUACUUUCUGAGCUGGGAGGGUAAAGGGUGCUUUUGGUUGGGUUGAGUGCAAAGUAGAGCAGUGUCAGCUGAUGUGGGCUGGUGCAGGUAGGGUGGAAGGAAGGGUAAGGGAAAAGAAGAGUUUAGAGAGGUUGGAAAAAAGAGAGAACAGAAAGGAGAUAAACAGUUUUCUUCCCACCUGCCUUUUACUGCCAAGUGACCCUUACUUUUCACUCUGAAAGCAGGUGGGUGCUCUUCUCCUUUCUUCCCUGCUGUUCUUUCUUUUCACCUAAUGAAAUUCCUCCCUCCUCCUCCCCUAGCCACAGUGAUCCAGUGUUUCACUUUGACAGCAUUGCCAUCCCGGGUGAGGGGAGAGGGAUGCUGGGAGCUUGCUGCCUGCAGCAACACCUAUGACUAUGCAUCCAGCACCCCCUCUCCAAACUGCUCCUGCUGUGUGACAUGGAGCAAAUUCUAUCAGGGACAAUGAAAGCAAAGCCUCCGGGUGGCUGAAAAAUUUGUUUUAAAAGUCUGGCCGUACAUUAAUAUUAGGCCUAACCUUUUAGUCAGUUAUCUCCCAGAAGGGAAAACCCAGUCUCUGAUGGCUGCUAGUGUGCAAUGGCAUUUAUGUUAACAAGAGGCAUAAUGCCUGAGAAUUAGUUAAAGUUCAUUCUUGCUGAGCCUUCUUUGCACAUACAGGUGUUUGCACAGGAACAACUGAGCCAGUCAGGCAGUCUCUAAAGGUCAUCAAGACUAAAGACUGCAUCCAAAGCCUUCCCAAUGACGUCAGCAGCUUCAGAAAAACCCACAGUCAGUUCACCUUGAGUAUUAUUAUUAGCAGACGUUCCAAAAUAAUUUAUGCCACUAAUCAGAGGAGCAGGCUGGAUUCAUAGCCCUGUACUCCAAGCUUACAUUUCUGUAACUCCACUGAUUUUCAUUGUAACUAUGUUGCUUUAAAUGAGUUCAGAAUUUAUUUUAGUGUGUUUAUUUCCAAAACUUCACAAGCACUAUUUAAAAAAAAAACAAGCAAAGAUAUUGGAUCGCUCUUCACAUUCAUGGCUUCUUUUAUUAUUGAAUGGAGUAAGAAAACUGUUGCCUCCAUUCUGCUACUGUGAUGCUCCAUUACUCACUUUCCUGUAAUGCAGAUGUUGUUGCUAUUCUUCCACAUCAUGUAUUCACUACUUGCAGCAUAUUUCCAGAUACACUUGAAUGCAGGGUCAUGCUAGGAAAAAAUCCUGCUGAUAUGUUGAGAUUUGGUAGUUUUGUUUGGUGUAAGUGAACAUAUUGUCUGUGGCCUGUAUUUUGUCAAAAGAUGAAAAUCAAGUCUAUCUUCCCUGCAUGCCAGAGUGUAUACACACACAUUAUCACACACACAACUUUGUACCAAUACAGUAUCUUUUUCUCUGCCCCAGUGCCAUUCCUUACAACAGCCUGUGGCAGUGAUGAGAAUGUAAAAAAAUGCAAGAAAAUCUCCUUAGUGACAUAUGUUUUUGGUGGUGGUUAGUGAUGCAUUGAAUCUAGAAAACUGGAUCCAAUUCCUCUGAUGUUUGUGAAGGUUUGUUUCAGAGCCAAACCUCACAGCUGUGCUGUAUCUGUAAUAGGCAAAACAGAACGUCAGGUUUGAACUUUGGGGAAAUUCCUAUAUUUGGUUUCAGACUUGGCAGCUUGGCCCCAUUUCUGGAUUUCAGCCUCUUCCAUUCCUGUCAUCAAGUAAUUGGGCCAAUAGAGCAAUGAUAUAAGCAGUGUGAUAAGUGACACAUGGGCUAAGUACAGACAGUCAAAAAGCCCAAGGCUGGAUCAAUUCAAUCUUCACAGGUUAGUCUAAGCUGUGUAGAUUGAGCUGGUAAGAAGGUAAACAGACAUUCAUUUUUUAUUUCAGAAAUCCAGCCAUGUGCCUGUAGUGGCCCAGGCCACAAGCUGGGGGGUGCUAUGACAUCUCUCCCUGCUUGGCUGAAGCAGACGGCUUGGGCCAAAGCUAGCCUGCCCGCCCUGCGAGAGGAGGUUUGUGGGGAAGGUGCAAAGCAUCCUGGGAUGCUGGGGAACUAAGAGUUAACUUGAAUCUGGGGGGGAUCUGGGACAGAACUUCUGUAAACCAAUUUAGUAAUAGAAGUAACACCCACUAUAGGCCAGAUCUGAAUUUGUUCCGUAAGAGUGUUUCAGUCUCUGGUGUCAAUUAGCGUGGGAGACCUUCCCAGUGGUUAACCUUCUUGCUAUAAGCACUCUUUCUGCUCCAUUAAUGACUUGUUUCUCGGACCCAGAGCAAUUCUGAUUAAUGUCCAUGUUGUACAUUACACAUUAAAUACUAUAUGGAUGCAAAAUGCUCUCUGCAUGGAUUCAUGAACUCCCUUGUGUUGGUUUUCCACCACUGCUAUGUGAAUGACAUCCCUUGAAGUCCUUUUGAUUUUAACCAGGCUAAAUGAGAUCAGAAUGAAGUCCCCAGUGAAUCCCAAACUUCUGCAAAUUAAGACGAUGGAAAGUACUGUGCUGUUCAGUCAGAAAAAGAGAGCUGUUGUGACGGCACUGAAAACUACUCUUCCCUAAUAACAGCAACAAGGUACUCAGGAAAGAGAUCUAGAAUUGUGUUUAAAUGCCUCUUCUAGUUUGGUUUUGCAAUUUUUUUUCUAUGGAUAGCAGUCAAUUCUCUGGGUUAUAACAAACUUCACUUCUUGGCCAUCUCAAGGAGUUUUGUGAUUCGCUUGUCACAUUUCAUAACCUGUCAUUCUCAUGUGAAUUUCAAACUAAUGCUGGAAGGAAAACCAGGACUUUUCCAUCAAUUGUUGUGUUUAAGGUGAAAGGAUAAUUAAUAGAUUUUAAAUCCCUAAGGGACUCUUCUUCUUUGUUUAUGUGCAAUAAUGUGUAUGAACUCUGCUGCUAAAAGAUUGUAUUGUGAGUGGCCAUAUCUACUUUUAUUGCUCUUUAAAAGCUAGUUUGUAGAAGUGAAGAUUUUUAUUGGUGUAAAGCACAAUUUAAUGGAUUACUUCAUGUGUUAAAUCAUUGUGAUGUCAAAAUAAUUGUUUCCCCUUA